rnacentral:rRNA from 1 species
GUGGGGAAUAUUGCACAAUGGGCGCAAGCCUGAUGCAGCAACGCCGCGUGAGGGAUGACGGCCUUCGGGUUGUAAACCUCUUUUAGUAGGGAAGAAGCGAAAGUGACGGUACCUGCAGAAAAAGCACCGGCUAACUACGUGCCAGCAGCCGCGGUAAUACGUAGGGUGCAAGCGUUAUCCGGAAUUAUUGGGCGUAAAGAGCUCGUAGGCGGUUUGUCACGUCUGCUGUGAAAACUGGAGGCUCAACCUCCAGCCUGCAGUGGGUACGGGCAGACUAGAGUGCGUUAGGGGCGAUUGGAAUUCCUGGUGUAGCGGUGGAAUGCGCAGAUAUCAGGAGGAACACCGAUGGCGAAGGCAGAUCUCUGGGCCGUAACUGACGCUGAGGAGCGAAAGCAUGGGGAGCGAACAGGAUUAGAAACCCGUGUAGUCC